rnacentral:snoRNA from 1 species
UCCCUCUCGGGGGCACACCUGGAGAGUUUCCAGUACUCUACCAGUCUUGGCUAUGGGAGGAAGAGUCAAGCAAAGGCAUAUCCAUUCCAUUCCUAGCUUGGCCAGUGGCUAGCGAGUGGAAGGCCAUCAGCUGCAAGU